GAACGCUAGCUACAGGCUUAACACAUGCAAGUCGAGGGGAAACGACAUCGAAAGCUUGCUUUUGAUGGGCGUCGACCGGCGCACGGGUGAGUAACGCGUAUCCAACCUGCCCACCACUUGGGGAUAACCUUGCGAAAGUAAGACUAAUACCCAAUGACGUCUCUAGAAGACAUCUGAAAGAGAUUAAAGAUUUAUCGGUGAUGGAUGGGGAUGCGUCUGAUUAGCUUGUUGGCGGGGUAACGGCCCACCAAGGCGACGAUCAGUAGGGGUUCUGAGAGGAAGGUCCCCCACAUUGGAACUGAGACACGGUCCAAACUCCUACGGGAGGCAGCAGUGAGGAAUAUUGGUCAAUGGGCGAGAGCCUGAACCAGCCAAGUAGCGUGCAGGAUGACGGCCCUAUGGGUUGUAAACUGCUUUUAUAAGGGAAUAAAGUGAGUCUCGUGAGACUUUUUGCAUGUACCUUAUGAAUAAGGACCGGCUAAUUCCGUGCCAGCAGCCGCGGUAAUACGGAAGGUCCGGGCGUUAUCCGGAUUUAUUGGGUUUAAAGGGAGCGUAGGCCGGAGAUUAAGCGUGUUGUGAAAUGUAGACGCUCAACGUCUGCACUGCAGCGCGAACUGGUUUCCUUGAGUACGCACAAAGUGGGCGGAAUUCGUGGUGUAGCGGUGAAAUGCUUAGAUAUCACGAAGAACUCCGAUUGCGAAGGCAGCUCACUGGAGCGCAACUGACGCUGAAGCUCGAAAGUGCGGGUAUCGAACAGGAUUAGAUACCCUGGUAGUCCGCACGGUAAACGAUGGAUGCCCGCUGUUGGUCUGAAUAGGUCAGCGGCCAAGCGAAAGCAUUAAGCAUCCCACCUGGGGAGUACGCCGGCAACGGUGAAAC
rnacentral:rRNA from 1 species